CCUACGGGGGGCAGCAGUGGGGAAUAUUGCACAAUGGGCGCAAGCCUGAUGCAGCCAUGCCGCGUGUGUGAAGAAGGCCUUCGGGUUGUAAAGCACUUUCAGCGGGGAGGAAGGCGUUAAGGUUAAUAACCUCAUCGAUUGACGUUACCCGCAGAAGAAGCACCGGCUAACUCCGUGCCAGCAGCCGCGGUAAUACGGAGGGUGCAAGCGUUAAUCGGAAUUACUGGGCGUAAAGCGCACGCAGGCGGUCUGUCAAGUCGGAUGUGAAAUCCCCGGGCUCAACCUGGGAACUGCAUUCGAAACUGGCAGGCUAGAGUCUUGUAGAGGGGGGUAGAAUUCCAGGUGUAGCGGUGAAAUGCGUAGAGAUCUGGAGGAAUACCGGUGGCGAAGGCGGCCCCCUGGACAAAGACUGACGCUCAGGUGCGAAAGCGUGGGGAGCAAACAGGAUUAGAUACCCGUGUAGUC
rnacentral:rRNA from 1 species